UACGUAGGUGGCAAGCGUUAUCCGGAUUUAUUGGGCGUAAAGCGAGCGCAGGCGGAAAGAUAAGUCUGAUGUGAAAGCCCCCGGCUUAACCGAGGAAUUGCAUCGGAAACUGUGUUUCUUGAGUGCAGAAGAGGAGAGUGGAACUCCAUGUGUAGCGGUGGAAUGCGCAGAUAUUGGGAAGAACACCGGCGGCGAAGGCGGCAUUCUGGGCCACGACUGACGCUGAGGCGCGAAAGCUAGGGGAGCGAACAGG
rnacentral:rRNA from 1 species